GCUGUUGAAAGUGGUGUAGUUUGGAAAUUAAUUCCUAAAGUAGUGUAUUUCAAGCAAAUAUUGGAGAGAGAAGGUGCAGAAUGGUAAAAAAAACCCACAAUUUUAAGCAAAAUUUUGCCCUCAUUUUGAAAAUAUUCUCCACUGACCUUGCACAUUAAUCAGUGUUGUUGCACCAUCGCCGCCGCACCACUUCAUCUCCAACCAGAACCAUCUUCUCCACCCUUCAUCUACUGUGACCAAACUCCGACCACCACCAAAUAGCAUUGCUGCACUACCACCACUGCGCCGCACUAACAGGAAGAUGAACUACUCUUCACUUGAAGGAGCUCAAGGAUUUGUAGAAGGAUCCUCCUACAUCAUGUAGGUAUGGAAGAGGUUGUAGAAGUUUGGAUUAUUUUUUUGGCAGCCCCAUAGCAAAAACCUGUAGAGCAAUAUAUGAAGGCAGAGCAAUUAGAGAAACAUGCAAAACCUGAAGAUUGGUGUAAUCAAUGUGAUUCAAAGACCACGUCAACAUUAAGAACAAGCACAAGCUUUAGCUUCAUUUGACAUUUCAAAGUGGCAAUGUACUCGAAAAAUUGGGUGGAUACAUGCAACCAGUUAUUUAGCCUUCACAUCUAACAUGGAGAUGCUUUUGUGGGAGGAUUUCUUUAACAAUUGGUUAAGCAAGCCCAUUGAAGAAUGCCUGAGAGUUGGGUGUUAAGCAGCCAAUGUUAUCAUCCAAAGGUCGGGCUGCACAUACCUAGAAAAGUUUGAUUUUCAUUAAGUGAUUCCUCCUUUUUUGUUACUACUAUGAAUUAUUGUUAUUAUUAUAUCAUAGAGAAGGAUUUUAAUAGACACACUCAAACUAUAUGUAAGUCUUUAGCUAACAAAAUGAUUGAACAUGCUCUAUAACGAUUAAAU